rnacentral:pre_miRNA from 1 species
AGAAGUAUCUCAAUAAUCUUAUUAAAACAUGGAUUGUAAUUCAGUGGUGUGGGUGAAGAUUCUACAUUUCUAAUAAACUUCCAAGGGAUGCUGAU